AGAGUUUGAUCCUGGCUCAGGAUGAACGCGCGCGGCGUGCUUAACACAUGCAAGUCGAACGAUGAACCUCACUUGUGGGGGGAUUAGUGGCGAACGGGUGAGUAACACGUGAGUAACCUGCCCUUGACUCUGGGAUAAGCCUGGGAAAACCGGGUCUAAUACUGGAUACGACCUUCUGGCGCAUGCCAUGUUGGUGGAAAGCUUUUGUGGUUUUGGAUGGACUCGCGGCCUAUCAGCUUGUUGGUGGGGUAAUGGCCUACCAAGGCGACCACGGGUAGCCGGCCUGAGAGGGUGACCGGCCACACUGGGACUGAGACACGGCCCAGACUCAUACGGGAGGCAGCAGUGGGGAAUAUUGCACAAUGGGCGCAAGCCCUGAUGCAGCGACGCCGCGUGAGGGAUGAAGGCCUUCGGGUUGUAAACCUCUUUCAGUAGGGAAGAAGCCGGUCUUUUGGGUUGGUGACGUUACCUGCUGAAGAAGCGCCGGCAAACUACGUGCCAGCAGCCGCGGUAAU
rnacentral:rRNA from 1 species